rnacentral:rRNA from 1 species
CCUACGGGCGGCAGCAGUGGGGAAUAUUGGACAAUGGGGGGAACCCUGAUCCAGCCAUGCCGCGUGUGUGAAGAAGGCCCUCGGGUUGUAAAGCACUUUCAGUGAGGAAGAACGCCUGGUGGUUAAUACCCAUCAGGAAAGACAUCACUCACAGAAGAAGCACCGGCUAACUCCGUGCCAGCAGCCGCGGUAAUACGGAGGGUGCGAGCGUUAAUCGGAAUUACUGGGCGUAAAGCGCGCGUAGGUGGCUUGAUAAGCCGGUUGUGAAAGCCCCGGGCUCAACCUGGGAACGGCAUCCGGAACUGUCAAGCUAGAGUGCAGGAGAGGAAGGUAGAAUUCCCGGUGUAGCGGUGAAAUGCGUAGAGAUCGGGAGGAAUACCAGUGGCGAAGGCGGCCUUCUGGACUGACACUGACACUGAGGUGCGAAAGCGUGGGAAGCAAACAGGAUUAGAUACCCUAGUAGUC